UACAGAGGUCCCAAGCGUUGUUCGGAUUCACUGAGCAUAAAGGGUGCGUAGAUGACAGGAUAAGUCCGAUGUGAAAUCUCCGAGCUUAACUCGGAAACUGCAUCGGAUACUAUCCGGCUAGAGGGUUGGAGGGGGGACUGGAAUUCUCGGUGUAGCAGUGAAAUGCGUAGAUAUCGAGAGGAACACCAGUGGCGAAGGCGAGUCCCUGGACAACUCCUGACGCUGAGGCACGAAAGCUAGGGGAGCAAACAGG
rnacentral:rRNA from 1 species